rnacentral:rRNA from 1 species
GAUUUCUGGCUUGAAACAUUAUGCCGGCCACGGUUUCGUGUGUUAGUGCAUUGGUGUUCUGGCCAUCCUUCCAAUGGCUAUUCAUCCUUCUUCAUUGAAGGUGUGAGUGGUAUUGGAUCUUUUACUUUGAAAAAAUUAGAGUGUUUCAAGCAGGCUUUAUGCUAUGAAUACAUUAGCAUGGAAUAAUAAUUUAGGACUUCGGUUCUAUUUUGUUGGUUUCUAGGACUGAAGUAAUGAUUGAUAGGGAUAGUUGGGGGUGCUAGUAUUCAGCGGCCAGAGGUGAAAUUCUCGGAUUCGCUGAAGACUAACUUAUGCGAAAGCAUU